rnacentral:rRNA from 1 species
AUUGAACGCUGGCGGAAUGCUUUACACAUGCAAGUCGAACGGUAGAGGGGGCAACCCCUUGAGAGUGGCGAACGGGUGAGUAAUAUAUCGGAACGUGCCCAGUCGUGGGGAUAACGUAGCGAAAGCUACGCUAAUACCGCAUACGAUCUAUGGAUGAAAGCGGGGGAUCGCAAGACCUCGCGCGAUUGGAGCGGCCGAUAUCAGAUUAGGUAGUUGGUGAGGUAAAGGCUCACCAAGCCGACGAUCCAUAGCUGGUCUGAGAGGAUGAUCAGCCACAUUGGGACUGAGACACGGCCCAAACUCCUACGGGAGGCAGCAGUGGGGACUAUUGGACAAUGGGCGCAAGCCUGAUCCAGCAAUGCCGCGUGCAGGAUGAAGGCC